rnacentral:rRNA from 1 species
CAGCGCCACGGUAAUACGUAGGUCCCGAGCGUUGUCCGGAUUUAUUGGGCGUAAAGCGAGCGCAGGCGGUUAGAUAAGUCUGAAGUUAAAGGCUGUGGCUUAACCAUAGUACGCUUUGGAAACUGUUUAACUUGAGUGCAAGAGGGGAGAGUGGAAUUCCAUGUGUAGCGGUGAAGUGCGUAGAUAUAUGGAGGAACGCCGGUGGCGAAAGCGGCUCUCUGGCUUGUAACUGACGCUGAGGCUCGAAAGCGUGGGGAGCAAACAGGAUUAGAUACCCCGGUAGUCCCUGUCUCUUAUACAC